rnacentral:lncRNA from 1 species
UACCGUAUUUACUCGAAUCUAACGCGCACCUUUUUUCUGGUAUAACGGGUCCAAAAAUCGCAUGCGCGCUAGAAUCGAGUACGACAGGGGGGAAACAAAAACUCGGUUACUGUAUUGCCAUCGGCAUUUAAAAAACUCUGUUACCGUAUCGCCAUCGGCAUUUCAAAAAUGGCCGCCUCCUGCGUGCAUCAGGUCUAAACUUAUCUGGGUGCCAUCUCUGCUGUUGUUUCUUCGAUUUGCCGCAGUUCGUACGUGUGCCGUUCUGCGUUCGCGUCGACGGCAUGGAAGCGCCGACUGCGAAGACUUGAAGAUUGCACCUUGAUGCCGCAUUUAAAAGCAAAGUUAUUACGUGGGCAAGGACGGACGGAAAUAGGGCUGCGACGCGAUCGUCCGAAGAAACGUGCGUGCGGGACUCGCAAACAGAAGCAGAAUAUUUUUGACCGCAAAGCUUCCUGAAAAGGUUUCAGUGAACCAAAGCAGGGUCGGCUCCCCAAAAUCGAAGAGCUGCUCGCCGAUUAUGCGCUUGAGCAACAAGCGGCCUACUUCAUCACGCGACUCGUACGUAGCAGCGGUCUCAGCGGCAAGACACGCUGUGUUGCGUUUAUUUUUCGCAACUAUAAUGCAUUAAAAGCAAAUACUUGCUUUUUUGAAUGCG